rnacentral:rRNA from 1 species
UACGUAGGGUGCGAGCGUUGUCCGGAAUUACUGGGCGUAAAGAGCUCGUAGGUGGUUUGUCGCGUUGUUCGUGAAAACUCACAGCUUAACUGUGGGCGUGCGGGCGAUACGGGCAGACUGGAGUACUGCAGGGGAGACUGGAAUUCCUGGCGUAGCGGUGGAAUGCGCAGAUAUCAGGAGGAACACCGGUGGCGAAGGCGGGUCUCUGGGCAGUAACUGACGCUGAGGAGCGAAAGCGUGGGGAGCGAACAGG